rnacentral:rRNA from 1 species
AAGAUCCCUGAAAGAUGAUCAGGUAGAUAGGAUGGAAGUGGAAGUGCUGCGAGGCAUGGAGCGGACCAUUACUAAUCGAUCGAGGACUUAACCAA